rnacentral:snRNA from 1 species
CUACUUACCUGGUGCUGGGGCCUCGUUGAUCACCAAGGCGAGCAUCCAGGGUGAGGCGCGGGCAUUGCAUGGCGCUUGUGUUGACCCCUGCCACUACCCCAAACUGGAGAAGAUGGGCCAUGAAAAUUGAGUUAACUCUGUUUAACGCAAGACAGGGC